CAGGACCAGACUGUUUCUAAAAUGUGAUGGAAACAACUCAAUAUGACAAUGUUAUGUUAUACAGGUAAGUAAUUAUCGGGCUUUAUUUAGACGUUAAACCAGUGACAACUGACCAAUAUAUUUUCUUGCCGAUUGCGAAGUAGUUGAUUUGAUAGAGGUUUUAUGGUUUUAUGAUGCGUUUUCAUUACGAGGGCUUCCUGUUGUCAAGGCAGUGUAACCACAACAAAGGUGUCAUCAGCGACAUGGGGGGUUUCAUAAAACCUUGUAGCCUCAACAUAUAGCCUUGAUAACUGGCUAGCUUGAAACAAGGUCACAUCCAUCUCGCUGAACAAUGUCUGAAGGAAACAGAAACGUUGUACACUGCACCAACCCUGGGAACCCUGUGUUUUCUUGUAUGAUGAACCCAGUUUCUCAGAUGCCGUCUCGUGACAUAUCAUGGACACAAGCACCCGCUAGUCUUUUUUACAAGACAACAUCCUCCGAUUAUGGACACUUAUAUCCUACGUAUGAAUCCUCGCCAUGCUCCUACCACCCUGUGUCGCAGACAUUCUCGGAGCAUAUGGGAAAGUGUGGAAUGUACCAUAACAAUUCCUUCAAUACUGCUUUGGAUAGAAGCAAGGUGUAACUGAAACUGUUUGCGAGUGAUUGCUAGUUAUCGGUUUGAUGGUUAAUGAAACUCCCUUGGGACUGCUCCAAUUAAAUGUUUGGUUCAUGCUUUUGCCUUUUCUUUAAAACGUUAAACUUAUGUUUGGACUUCAUCCCUCCUCAAUAAAAACGACCAUAAAAAGAAA